ensembl:lncRNA
CUCUGUGAUAUAUCUAGAUCUGCUGCUCUGCUCUGUUCUGGUACAGUUUGUAUAAGUAGUCUACAUACUGGGAGAGGUUCAGGGGGAGGUAGUCUACAUACUGGGAGAGGUUCAGUGAGAGGUAGUCUACAUACUGGGAGAGGUUCAGUGAGAGGUAGUCUACACACUGGGAGAGGUUCAGUGAGAGGUAGUCUACAUACUGGGAGAGGUUCAGUGAGAGGUAGUCUACUGCCCACCCAGGGUAGACUCUGACUGGUCUGGUCACAUCACAUUAUUAACCAACCACAGCUCUGCAGGCUUAGUGGUUCGGUCAGCUGAAACUGUGUCGUCUUGCCUCUAUUGACUGUGACUGUUGGUUAGUGUGGAGGUAGCGAGCUGAAACCGCGGGUAGCCAUGGUAACAGCUACAUUAUGCAACAAAUGAGUCUCUCUGUGUUCAGAAGUGGUGUCAUCAUAGGUCAGGGAACUGACUGAUUCCCAUGCACUAAAAACAAACCCAAAAGAGCCCC